UGAAAUGGAAACUGCGAGCAUCAGAACACCCCAGAACGGGUGCCAGUUGUGGGGAUAAAGAAAAAAGUAUGAAUAUUGUUCCAAUCACCUACAAGAACAAAGAAAACAGGAGAAGGCAAUGAUACAAACAAACAUGAGGCAUCAAUCUGUCAUGUCUCACACAAACUAUUUACCAUUUCCCCUCUGAAAAAGCACAUCGGAUUCUCUCGCAUUUCGCUUUCUCCCAACCUCGCAACAGAGGCUUUGCUCUGUAAAAGCUGACACCAACCACCCCCCUUCACGCCAUUCACGCCACUCUCCUCUGUGUUCCCACAUUUUCUUCUUUCUCAUCCCCUAAUUGCAAGUGCAGCAAUCACCAGGAUGUUGUUGUCUUAUUUAUUGGCAUUACCCCAUACACCUGACCUUCAUACUCUGAGCAUCCUCAUCAAUUGUUUCUGGCAUCUAAAGCUCACAUCACUUUUGCUUUUUCUGAAUUGGCCAACAUUCUCGAGAGGGUUUAUCACCCAGAUGCAAUAACCCUCACCACACUGCACUUUUUCACGACGAGGGGGUAGCUCAAGGGUUCCAGCUGAACAAAUGGAUUGUGUAAAACAGCAGUGUGCAUAUAAUCUUUCUCUUCCUUUUUUGUCAACAAGGUCAGCGCUUCACCAAGUAAGUCCGAGUCCAUUGAUCAUAAGAGUGUAUAUCUGGACAUUUAAAUGGUAAUCUUAUGCCGAGAGAACUUUUCAGCAUCUUUUGAUUAAAUGUUACCAUUUGAAUGUCCAGAUACGUACUCGGAUGCGGACUUACUUGGUAACUUUUGAAAUAAUUAUUUGUGUUCUCUUUGGAAAAUAUGAAAAUGAUAGAGACUCCUUCAUGAAAUGAUUGCUAGAGGCUUAUUGCAAGGGUAAAGUAGGUGAGAUGCUUUCCAAUUAUUAAUGAAUAAAACUAGUUCAUUCAUAAUCGUAACUACAAAUAGUCAAUUGUUCAUUUUCCUGAUUUAUAUAAACUUUCCAAACCUACUUUCAUUUUCUUAUGCAUACAAACAUGUGAAGAUGACUCAACUUCACUAUUAUACUUAAUGGUAUUUCUGUUUCCUUUCCAUUUUUGAUUAAUUUGCUUUGCAUGUGGGCUUUUGGUGAAAAUCUAUAGUCAGUAUAGUUUUUUCUCGGAUUUUACUAACACUUAGUUCGACAACAAUUUUUACAGCUUUGUCAGUGUCCACUUCAAUUUUUUUGUCAGACUCUACCAUUGAUAGGAUUUAAACUGUACACUGUAUUUGCUUUAAUAGUAUCUUGUUGAACUACCUUCCUCACAUGGUACUUUAUUUUGUCCAUGCUAGGCGUAACAGUCUGGGUUUAUUAAUUUAUUUCUGUUUAUUUGAGGGGAUUGUGAGAUUCUAAUGUGCAGCUAGAGGAUGCAUAGGAUUCACAGCAUUGGUGGUGUGGUUUCAAAGAAAUUACCAUAAACAGGGAUUAGCCCUGACAUCUUUACCUUUAGCAUCCUCAUGAAGGUUUGCUGCCACCUUACUUAGAUCAAACGGUGUUUGUUCUAUGCUGGGUAGUAUUUUUAAGAGGGGUUAUCAUCCUAUCCAUUAGGAUCACCACACUUGUGACGAAUCUCUUUUUUCGUGGGAAUGUUGAAGAAGAAUUGUAAGUUCGUGAUAGUGGGUUAGCUCAAGGAUCUCACAUGAUCCAGGUGGAAUUGAUCAGGUGGAAUCCUUGGAUCAUGUGAUAUCCUUGAGCUAAUACACUAUCAUGAAGGCUUCUUUAACAUUUCCAGGAAGAAAGAAGCCCUUCAUGAGUGUGGUGAUGGUAAUGGUGAUAACCCCAGAAAAAACAGCAUUGAUCUGAGAAGGGUGACCGUAAGCAUUUACGAGGAUGAGUGAAGAUAUCAGGGCUAAUCCCUUGUUGACUGUAAUGGUUGAAAAGGGGAAUCACAGUGGGAUAGUGCUUCAUCUUCACGUGAGAACUGAGAAGACUGUUAAAGUGGAUGAUAGGAGGGGGAGAUCGCUUAAAAAGCAUGCGGUUGAACAAGGCAACAACAUGAUGGUUAUCAAGGUGAUUGUCAGUUUAAGACUGAGAAUGAGAAUGAAGAAAACGUGGAAACACAGAGAGGGAGGGAAGAAACCUGAAGAAGGAAGACACUGUGACGGGCCAGGCCGGAAAUGGAAAGAGUGUGGUGUGGGCUUUAUGGCAAAAGGUAUGCAGUAAACAAAAGGAGGGUGUGGUGGGGUUUAUCAACUUGAAAUGAUGUGGGUGAUGGAACUAUGGAAAGAGCUUGACAGGGCAUAAUAUCAGUUGGAGAGGGUUCAGACUUUACUGGUGUCCCAAGAAAAUUCUGGCAGUAAAUGACACUUCACACAUGAGCGCUUCAGACUUGGCAUCCAUGUGCUUCAGACUUGCAAUUGUUGAGAUUGAAAAAAUGCUAUCAGCCAAGAAGAAGUCACUAUAUUGUACCAGUGAACCUGGAAGGUAACCAAUCAGGUUUUGCUGUCUGAGGCUGGAUCCUCCAUUAUAGUAUCCCAAACUGUUGAAGUUCCACGCACAUUGAAGUUUGAUAUAUAGUUUUUAAAUACAUCUUGUAUUUGCUUUUCUGGUAAGAGACAUGGGUAAAAAGAGUUAAAGUUUAAUUUAGUCAUCAAUUCAAUUUUAAUAAAAAUAGAGUUGUAUGUAAUUGUAAAGUAAUUUUGUAUGAUUUGAUUCGUUUAUGGA